rnacentral:lncRNA from 1 species
CUAAACUGCACAUUGGGAGACAAUUACAGAGGACUUUACAAACGUAAUGACAUGGACCCGUGGACAAGGAUGCUAUCACGACUAAUCAUCUCGAAGUCUCCCUACAUCUCUGCGG